rnacentral:rRNA from 1 species
GCUUGUCUCAAAGAUUAAGCCAUGCAUGUCUUAGUGUAAAUAACUCUUAUGAAACUGCGAAUGGCUCAUUAAAUCAGUUAUAGUUUAUUUGAUGGUACCUACUACUCGGAUAACCGUAGUAAUUCUAGAGCUAAUACGUGCGCACAACCCGACUUCUGGAAGGGUCGUAUUUAUUAGAUAAAAGGCCAGCCGGGCUUUGCCCGACCUGCGGUGAAUCAUGAUAACUUCACGAAUCGUAUGGCCUUGUGCCGACGAUGUUUCAUUCAAAUUUCUGCCCUAUCAGCUUUGGAUGGUAGGGUAUUGGCCUACCAUGGCUUUAACGGGUAACGGAGAAUUAGGGUUCGAUUCCGGAGAGGGAGCCUGAGAAAUGGCUACCACAUCCAAGGAAGGCAGCAGG